AGUGAACGCUGGCGGUAGGCCUAACACAUGCCAGUCGAACGGCAGCACAGUAAGAGCUUGCUCUUACGGGUGGCGAGUGGCGGACGGGUGAGGAAUACAUCGGAAUCUACUUUUUCGUGGGGGAUAACGUAGGGAAACUUACGCUAAUACCGCAUACGACCUACGGGUGAAAGCAGGGGAUCUUCGGACCUUGCGCGAUUGAAUGAGCCGAUGUCGGAUUAGCUAGUUGGCGGGGUAAGGCCCACCAAGGCGACGAUCCGUAGCUGGUCUGAGAGGAUGAUCAGCCACACUGGAACUGAGACACGGUCCAGACUCCUACGGGAGGCAGCAGUGGGGAAUAUUGGACAAUGGGCGCAAGCCUGAUCCAGCCAUACCGCGUGGGUGAAGAAGGCCUUCGGGUUGUAAAGCCCUUUUGUUGGGAAAGAAAAGCAGCAGGUUAAUACCCCGCUGUUCUGACGGUACCCAAAGAAUAAGCACCGGCUAACUUCGUG
rnacentral:rRNA from 1 species